GGAUGAAGAACGUAGCGAAAUGCGAUAAGUAAUGUGAAUUGCAGAAUUCAGUGAAUCAUCGAGUCUUUGAACGCACAUUGCGCCCCCUGGCAUUCCGGGGGGCAUGCCUGUCCGAGCGUCAUUGCUGCCCUUCAAGCCCGGCUUGUGUGUUGGGUCGUCGUCCCCCCCGGGGGACGGGCCCGAAAGGCAGCGGCGGCACCGCGUCCGGUCCUCGAGCGUAUGGGGCUUUGUCACCCGCUCGAUUAGGGCCGGCCGGGCGCCAGCCGGCGUCUCCAACCUUCUAUUUUACCAGGUUGACCUCGGAUCAGGUAGGGAUACCCGCUGAACUUAAGCAUAUCAAUAAGCGGAGGA
rnacentral:misc_RNA from 1 species